AUGGAGGUAGUACCUGGUAAAAAUGGAUCUCCUCCUUCUGGGGUAGUAACAAUUUCUGGGAUACAGUAUUUUGGAAGGACUUAUUUCGAUCGGGCUUCCCCUAGUCUAGUGUUCCGAAAGGAUUCCAUUUUUGCUAGGAAGGAUCUCUCACUCUCUGGGUCGGGCUUCUCUUCCCUGCAACUUUUUCUUGGCAAUCCUUCCUCCUCGCAGGCUCGCCCACACCACACCAUCCACCGCCUCUGCCUCCGCCUUCACCCCCCGCUCCGGAAAGGCGCGGCUGCUGGUCUCUCUAGGGUUCGUCGGCCCGGCGCGGGGGACCCGUGCUUCUGCUUCCGCUUCCGCUUCCGCACCGAGAGUAUGGCUGGAAGGCACACCAUUGUUCUCGUGCAACCAUCUCCAAACAAAGCGUCCAGAACUUUUAUGGACUUCAGUUCACUCAACCAAGCACUGGACGGUAUCUGUGCUCGUUAUGAAAAGAAAAUCAUGGAUAUCAACCCGAUGGCCAGGAACUUCACUUAUGACAUCACCGACCUGUACAAUUUCAUCGAUGGACUAGCGGACAUCAGUGCCCUAGUGUAUGAUCAUCAACUUCAAGCUUUUCUGCCAUAUGACAGGCAGUGGAUAAAACAGAAGAUGUUCCAGCACCUCAAGAACCAGGCACGGCAGUAG
rnacentral:rRNA from 1 species